rnacentral:rRNA from 1 species
AAGGCUGAUGGCGACCGGCGCACGGGUGAGUAACACGUAUCCAACCUGCCGUCUACUCUUGGCCAGCCUUCUGAAAGGAAGAUUAAUCCAGGAUGGCAUCAUGAGUUCACAUGUCCGCAUGAUUAAAGGUAUUUUCCGGUAGACGAUGGGGAUGCGUUCCAUUAGAUAGUAGGCGGGGUAACGGCCCACCUAGUCAACGAUGGAUAGGGGUUCUGAGAGGAAGGUCCCCCACAUUGGAACUGAGACACGGUCCAAACUCCUACGGGAGGCAGCAGUGAGGAAUAUUGGUCAAUGGGCGAUGGCCUGAACCAGCCAAGUAGCGUGAAGGAUGACUGCCCUAUGGGUUGUAAGCUUCUUUUAUAAAGGAAUAAAGUCGGGUAUGCAUACCCGUUUGCAUGUACUUUAUGAAUAAGGAUCGGCUAACUCCGUGCCAGCAGCCGCGGUAAUACGGAGGAUCCGAGCGUUAUCCGGAUUUAUUGGGUUUAAAGGGAGCGUAGAUGGAUGUUUAAGUCAGUUGUGAAAGUUUGCGGCUCAACCGUAAAAUUGCAGUUGAUACUGGAUGUCUUGAGUGCAGUUGAGGCAGGCGGAAUUCGUGGUGUAGCGGUGAAAUGCUUAGAUAUCACGAAGAACUCCGAUUGCGAAGGCA